UACGUAGGGUGCGAGCGUUGUCCGGAUUUACUGGGCGUAAAGAGCUCGUAGGCGGUUUGUCACGUCGUCUGUGAAAACCCGAGGCUUAACCUCGGGCCUGCAGGCGAUACGGGCAGACUUGAGUACUGUAGGGGAGACUGGAAUUCCUGGUGUAGCGGUGGAAUGCGCAGAUAUCAGGAGGAACACCGGUGGCGAAGGCGGGUCUCUGGGCAGUAACUGACGCUGAGGAGCGAAAGCGUGGGUAGCGAACAGGAUUAGAUACCCUGGUAGUCCACGCCGUAAACGGUGGGUACUAGGUGUGGGUUUCCUUCCACGGGAUCCGUGCCGUAGCUAACGCAUUAAGUACCCCGCCUGGGGAGUACGGCCGCAAGGCUAAA
rnacentral:rRNA from 1 species